ACUUAAAAUCGACUCCGAGCCUGUGGUAGUCUAAGGCAACUGCUAAGAUACUCAGGCCGUUAGGGUUUAAUGGGAAACCAUUAAGCCUCCCCUGUGGAAAGGAGUACAGUUUUAACCUUG
rnacentral:ncRNA from 2 species